GUGAGAGAAUGCUUUGACAAAUUGCCUGGCAGAUCGCUAACUGCAAAAAACAUCCGAGUUGCCAUCAGCCAUUACAGCAAACUUAAGAUUUUUCUGGAAGCUCCUUCCUUUUCCUCCUGCUCUUCUGGAGCAAGAAGCCAUUGGGUUCCCUCAAAGGCAAGCCUUGCAGGGUUGAAUAAUUCAAAACAAAUAUGGAAAGAUACUUUGUGAGUUCAUAGACGUCUAACAUGAUAAUACUACCUUCCUCCAAGAACUGGCGAGACUAUUGGAGUGUAUGUACAAGUGUGUGCCCCUCUUCAGGCAGCAGAGACUAUAGGUAUGCGAAUACCUGUGUUUGGAUCUUAAGAAUGGCAACUUUUAUUCAAAGCAUGGGCUUAUGGGCUUUGUGUGCCUAUGUAUUGGUCAGAGGUUUCAGGAAAAGACAGGGUAUCUGGUACUAACAUAAUUCGUUUACACGCUCCUAG
rnacentral:lncRNA from 1 species